UUGCCUUUAAAGAAUCACAUAGCACCUUGGAUUUUAGCAAUCAGUAAUUUAGCAGAGUUGACACCUUGCGUCAGCAGAUAGGGCACAUAUCUCCCCCAGCUUGAGACAGCUCGAAAAACACCAUGUGGGCGUGGAUCAUGGGCACCGAUUUCGUCACUCUCUCGAGCAGCUCAAAGGAAACAAGGCACUUCCUGCCCAUUGACCUCCGUGACGAACUACUACAUAUGUUGUCCAUGUCAUCACCAUCGUGCAUCUUAAACUGGUUUAAACACAUAGUUUUAAAAUGCAGUCAAAUAAACCAAGUGAUUUAUUGGUUCCUAGUUUAAACACAUAGAUAUGCAAUGCGCUAGUCUCAGAUAGUUUAAUUGUCUCGUGAAAAGAAGAUAUAUAAAAAGGAUACUCUAAUUUACAAUGAUGCCUUUAAGAUCCGCAAUAAUGCCAUUUACAAAAUUUACAAUAAUUCUUUUAAGUGGUUUUCAUGAUAGCUAAUUCACAUUUGGGUUACCAUGGCACAUUAUGUUUCUGCUGUCAAUGCAUCUUGAUAGCUUGUUUCUUAUAUUUUAUUUUAUUUAAAUUCUUCUUCUAUUCAUUUAUUUUUUUGUUUCAUUUCUUACCGACUACUUGCCAGCUUCUGCAUAUACUGAAUUUCGUUUGCUGUGCUAAUAGCAGGUUGACCAACUCUGUAAAUAAAAUUGCAAUGUCAUGACAGCAGAGGCCCACUUAGAUGGGGAUUAUGCCUUGUCCUGCUAAGUUUGUUUAACUCACUAAGUAGCUUUGGCUUAUCAGUUGAUGCAAAUGCUAAUGCUAUCUCAUGCAUUGGCCUGCAAUAUUCAAAACAUAGAGAUAACUAAUCAACUACACAGAAAAAUAUAAAAGCACCAAUUUAUUCCUCCAAACAAAUUCACAAUAUCGUUCAAGGACAAUAAGGAAGUGAUCUAAAGCAAAUAUCUUAUACUCCCUCCGUCCCGUAAUAUAAGAGCGUUUUUAACACUAUACUAAUACAAAAAACGCUCUUAUAUUAUGGGACAGAGGGAGUAUAAAUUUAGGAACAGAUUUGCAACUAAACACUAAUUAUUUAGAUUGUGGGGGUGUGUUUCUACUUCUACAACUGCAAAGCGGCACCAAAUACCACUUCCUAUGGUUUGGCAAAUAAAAGCCCGUAAGCAUGUUAUAAUAUGGCUAACCUCUGUAAACGGAAUAGCAACAUUGUGAAACAGAAUCAUAUUACCACACCUUCAUAUUACUGUAAGAAAUAUUGUAAUAAAAAAGCAAGGAACCACCUUAACUGAAAAAGAAAUUAUAUACCUGGAGACGAGAUGAACGUUGUUAUCAUCGUCGUUAUUGGUGCUACCGACAUCACGCAGACUUACUGUUAACCGAUGUAAGUCGGAUACACCAUCGAGCCUAAUAUAACCGAUGGCCAGAACCCCAAGAUUUCCAGCACUGCAAGGUUUC
rnacentral:lncRNA from 1 species